rnacentral:lncRNA from 1 species
AGGUGUCUGGGGAGGCCGGAAUUGGCGACGGCCGGACGGGCCGUUCUUUUUUUCUUCACAAGGUGCUACGGUUUUUUUCCGCCCCGUCCUGCCGGAUCAACGGCCAUAUAUCAGAACCGCGGGAGCGGUUCGUGGCGGCGUAGUUAAAACCAUACACUUACCCAAACAAGACCACCAUUCAGGGACGUUCGUAAUAAAGGCGGGACAGUGUGAGGCAUUAUGCAGGCUCACAAUGGCGCACUGUUUGAAAAGAAGUGUACUUUACUGUUACGAGUAUUCAACAGUGAUUCAGGGCGUGAAACCACACAUCGGUCAACAACAGCAAACCAAAACCAACACCGUGACGAGGGACUAAAUAUAAAAUUACAGCAAAAUUCAAUUCAUCCAGCAUACAAACCUUCUUCACGGGCACGAGAGAGCACACCGAACCCAUUAAUACCUGCUUUUAUCCAAAGCGACUUACAAGAGGACGACACCAGCAAUUCUCAACUAAGAGCCCUGAUACGGCCGAACGGGUCAGGAAUAGAACAUGCAGGGGAAUUGUUAAGUGCUAGAAUUGUUUUUUUGUGAGUGUGUGUGUGUGUGUGUGUGUGUUAGUGUUAGACUCGUUUGAACUACUUUUUAAACAAGUGGGCUUUCAAUUGUUUUUUUAAAGGUGGUAGUGGUCUGUCUUUGGCUGUUGUUGCAUUUAAAGUGAAAUGUGUCUUCUGCAUUUUACCAUCACCUUGGUAAAGCAAGACAGGCAGCAGCACUCCAGCGAUUCGGGAUUCGAACCGGCAACUUUCCGAUUACCGGUAAAGCGGUUAUUUAUUUAAAUAGACGCUUCCCAGUAUCAAGAACCAUUUUAUUUCUAAUUAAUUUCUCAUUUCGACUUUGUAAAAUUGAUUUAGCGUCCUCAUCAGAGCAGAACUUCAGUGGCCAUCGGUGGUGAGCCCCGCCUCCUGCAGACGUGGUGCGGGCAGUGGGGCGACCUGCAGGACACGCAUCCAGACGUUCGUGUUCAUAAAACAUGACGUUCCGGAAAUAGCUCCUCUCUCGCAGCCCUGCCGCGCUUCUAAUCCGGUCCACGGCGAGGUUCCCUCCGCGAGCGCGGGGCCAGAGCUAUUUUUACUGCACGCUUCCCGUUCUGCGCUCGCUUCGCGCGUCGAUGUCCUCCCGCCGUCCAAAAGACACGCAACAGACGAACAUUUUACUGUUCCGUGCGUGGGACUGGUCGUUGGGAUCUCGUUCCCCUGCGGAUGGAAGUUGGCCCAAUGAAGCCAGGCUGGUGCAAGAAGGUUACUUGCACAUCGUCUGACAGUUCGUCGGCUGAAACCGAUUCCCGAGCAUUUGGCCCGACAGAUUGACCGCGUGAUGUUGAGGCUAAGCCCCCUACAGCUUCUGUGAAACGAAUGAUU